AGAAUCAACGCUGGCGGCGUGCCUAACACAUGCAAGUCGCACGAGAAAGUGGAGCAAUCCACGAGUAAAGUGGCGCACGGGUGAGUAACACGUGAAUAAUCUACCUCCGAGUGGGGAAUAACUGAGAGAAAUCUUAGCUAAUACCGCAUAAUACCCACGGGUCAAAGCAGCAAUGCGCUUGGAGAGGAGUUCGCGGCCGAUUAGCUAGUUGGCGGGGUAAUGGCCCACCAAGGCGAUGAUCGGUAUCCGGCCUGAGAGGGCGCACGGACACACUGGAACUGAAACACGGUCCAGACUCCUACGGAGGCAGCAGUGGGGAAUUUUGCGCAAUGGGGGAAACCCUGACGCAGCAACGCCGCGUGGAGGAUGAAAUCCCUUGGGAUGUAAACUCCUUUCGAUAGGGAAGAUAAUGACGGUACCUAUAGAAGAAGCCCGGCUAACUUCGUGCCAGCAGCCGC
rnacentral:rRNA from 1 species